rnacentral:rRNA from 1 species
GACGAACGCUGGCGGCGCGCUUAACACAUGCAAGUCGAGCGAGCGGCGGACGGGUGAGUAAUGUCUGGGAAACUGCCUGAUGGAGGGGGAUAACUACUGGAAACGGUAGCUAAUACCGCAUACCAUCAGAUGUGCCCAGAUGGGAUUAGCUAGUAGGUGGGGUAAUGGCUCACCUAGGCGACGAUCCCUAGCUGGUCUGCGAGGAUGACCAGCCACACUGGAACUGAGACACGGUCCAGACUCCUACGGGAGGCAGCAGUGGGGAAUAUUGCACAAUGGGCGCAAGCCUGAUGCAGCCAUGCCGCGUGUGUGAAGAAGGCCUUCGGGUUGUAAAGCACUUUCAGCGAGGAGGCGUUACUCGCAGAAGAAGCACCGGCUAACUCCGUGCCAGCAGCCGCGGUAAUAC